ACGACGUCGUAUGGGAAGGGUGGGUGGCAGUAUUAUUAUUGAUUAGGCAUUGCAUUUUGGAGCUGUGGCCUGUGAGUUGUGUGACUUGUGACAAGCAGCCUCAGUAGGUCCGUUGAUUAAUGAAAGCCACCUGUGCCGCGCCUCAUAUUCUCCACCAUUCCAUUCCAUUUCCUCUUCUUUUCAAUUCCAAUUCCAAUUCUCAUUAGACUCUUUCGAUCAAAUCUAUGAUCUCUCUCUCGUUCCCUUCACUGCUACAUACUGCGUAGCAGUAGUAGCAUUGCAUUUCUAUUUUUAUUUCAAUUCUCAAUUUUGGGAACGACAUGGCUCCCAUAAACCUCAACGUCAAGCAGUCGGCAAACUCCACCACCGCUACCAUUGCGGCAUCCUCGCCGGACAUACUGGUGCGGGN
rnacentral:lncRNA from 1 species